CAAAGGUUUGGUCCUAACCCUAAAGUCAAUUUGAACUCAACUUACACAUGCAAGUCUCAGCACCCCCGUGAGAACGCCCUAAAACCCCUUACUGGGACAAGGAGCUGGUAUCAGGCUCACUUUUUUUAGCCCAAAACACCUAGUUUCACCACAUCCUCAAGGAAGAUCAGCAGUGAUUAAUAUUGAAUAUGCGCGACAGCAAGAUUCAGUUAGAGUUCAGAGAGCCGGCAAAAUUGGUGCCAGCCGCCGCGGUUAUACCAAUAGACUCAAAUUGACUUCAAUCGGCGUAAAGCGUGAUUAAAGUCUUUAAUUAAUUAAAGACAAACCUCCACUAAGCUGUGACACGCUUGUGUUUGAGAAAAUCAAAAACGAAAGUUUCUUUAAUUAAACCCCACUUGAACUCACGACAGUUAAGACACAAACUGGGAUUAGAUACCCCACUAUGCCUAACCGUAAACCUUUACUUACAAUCUAAACGCCAGAGAACUACGAGCAAAGCUUAAAACUCAAAGGACUUGACGGUACCCCACAUCCACCUAGAGGAGCCUGUCCUAUAAUCGAUAACCCUCGCUUAACCUCACCAUUUUUAGCUAAUCAGUCUGUAUACCUCCGUCGUCAGCUUACCACGUGAGCGAAUCAUAGUAAGCCUAAUGCCCACACGCCAAUACGUCAGGUCAAGGUGCAACUAACAAAAUGUGAAAGAGAUGGGCUACACUUUCUAAUUUAGAAGAUACGAAAAACUUUAUGAAACCUAGUUAGAAGGCGGAUUUAGCAGUAAAAAGAAACUAGAGAGUUCUUUUUAACUUGGCACUGGGGUGUGUACACACCGCCCGUCACCCUCUUCAAACCUAAUCCAUAGUAUUUAACUAACUUUUGACCCCCCAAAGAAGAGGUAAGUCGUAACAUGGUAAGUAUACCGGAAGGUGUGCUUGGAAAC
rnacentral:ncRNA from 1 species